rnacentral:rRNA from 1 species
GAUGAACGCUAGCUACAGGCUUAACACAUGCAAGUCGAGGGGCAGCAUUGGAGUAGCAAUACUUCAGAUGGCGACCGGCGCACGGGUGAGUAACACGUAUCCAACCUGCCGCUUACUCGGGGAUAGCCUUUCGAAAGAAAGAUUAAUACCCGAUGGUAUAAAGAGUUCGCAUGUUCUCUUUAUUAAAGAAUUUCGGUAAGCGAUGGGGAUGCGUUCCAUUAGAUUGUUGGCGGGGUAACGGCCCACCAAGUCUACGAUGGAUAGGGGUUCUGAGAGGAAGGUCCCCCACAUUGGAACUGAGACACGGUCCAAACUCCUACGGGAGGCAGCAGUGAGGAAUAUUGGUCAAUGGGCGAGAGCCUGAACCAGCCAAGUAGCGUGAAGGAUGACUGCCCUAUGGGUUGUAAACUUCUUUAUAAGGGAAUAAAGUGAGGGACGUGUCCCUUUUUGUAUGUACCUUAUGAAUAAGGAUCGGCUAACUCCGUGCCAGCAGCCGCGGUAAAAGUACUCU